rnacentral:rRNA from 1 species
CAGUAGCCGCGGUAAUACGAAGGGGGUUAGCGUUGUUCGGAUUUACUGGGCGUAAAGCGCACGUAGGCGGAUCGAUCAGUCAGGGGUGAAAUCCCAGAGCUCAACUCUGGAACUGCCUUUGAUACUGUCGAUCUGGAGUAUGGAAGAGGUGAGUGGAAUUCCGAGUGUAGAGGUGAAAUUCGUAGAUAUUCGGAGGAACACCAGUGGCGAAGGCGGCUCACUGGUCCAUUACUGACGCUGAGGUGCGAAAGCGUGGGGAGCAAACAGGAUUAGAUACCCCAGUAGUCCCUGUCUCUUAUAC